rnacentral:rRNA from 1 species
AGCGAACGCUGGCGGCAGGCUUAACACAUGCAAGUCGAGCGGGCACUUCGGUGUCAGCGGCGGACGGGUGAGUAACACGUGGGAACGUACCCUUGGGUUCGGAAUAACGCUGGGAAACUAGCGCUAAUACCGGAUACGCCCUUUUGGGGAAAGGCUUGCUGCCGAAGGAUCGGCCCGCGUCUGAUUAGCUAGUUGGUGGGGUAAUGGCCUACCAAGGCGACGAUCAGUAGCUGGUCUGAGAGGAUGAUCAGCCACACUGGGACUGAGACACGGCCCAGACUCCUACGGGAGGCAGCAGUGGGGAAUAUUGGACAAUGGGCGCAAGCCUGAUCCAGCCAUGCCGCGUGAGUGAUGAAGGCCUUAGGGUUGUAAAGCUCUUUUGUCCGGGACGAUAAUGACGGUACCGGAAGAAUAAGCCCCGGCUAACUUCGUG